CCGAAGCUUCAUGAGAUCUCUCCUGUCUGUGCACGGACGAGUGGCCGACUCUGGAGCCCAGGGUGUUGCUUCCCGGUCUGGUAGUGAAUCGUCCAUAGUCUGGUGAGUGUAGUGUCUGACUCUGGAGCCCAGGCUGAUGCUUCCCGGUCUGGUGAUGAAUCGUUCAUAGUCUGGUGGAAGACGGAAAGAGAAAACCAUAUGAAAAAAAGACACAAAUUUCUAAAAAAGCAUCCUGUCUUUGAAGAGUGGCAAAUACUAUUCUGUUUUUGAGUACAGAAAUAGAUCCAACUUGGAAUUAUAAAACAGAAUGGCACAAUAUAUUUAACUGACUUCCAUCUUCAAGCAAAGAGUUGUUCUCCAAAUGGCAAUUGGAAUUUGCAGCAACCUGAGUGAGGAGAGAGAUAAAUUGAAUAAUUGUUAGGCAAAAAUGAACCAGAACUUGAAGACUUGGAAAAUUACCAGCCUAUUUAUAUUGCAAAAUAAUACCAAAGAAUUUUGGGAAGAGAACAUCAAGGAUAUUGCUGGGCUACAAAGAUCUGCUAGAAAGAUUACAGUUACCAUGGUGCUGCAACUGGCUGAACAUGCUGUUACUAUGGAAACAACAGUGUAUUUCUCUGCAUCUCAUACAUUUUGGUACAUUCUUCAGAUCUUUUCUUCACAUGUGCAUUUAUUUUCAUAUGACAAAUAUGUAAUUAAAAGUUCUAUAGUUCUUGAGCAAUUAGGGCAACUUAGACAAUAUUUUCAUACUUACAGAACAAUUGAAAAUUAAUGACAGAAUAUACACAAUAUUGUAUAUUUUUACUCAUCUUCGUAUUCAACCAAAAAUUAUCAGCUUACUUUUUGCAUGUGUUCUUUAUAGAAAUAACUUGUUUAUUUAAAAUAUUUUAUGAAAAAGUAUCACAUAUUUUCUUGGUGCUUCACCAACAAAAUCAACAAAAAUAUGUUUACUGGCAACACAAAAGGAAAAUAUAUUGAAAUAACUCUUAUGAUGCCUACUAGUUAAAAGGAAUAAAAUAUUUUUGUCACUGAGUCAACUCCAAUAAGAGAAAAUAAAAUUAUUCUAAGGAAUUAUAUAUAUAUUUUUUUCUGUGUGUAUCCUUCAUCUUUAUCAGUGCAUUUUUCUAUUGAUUGUAAUGAAAAUAUUUGCAAUUAAAAAUAAAUGUUGCCCUAAAAAUAAUAACUAACACUUACUGGGUAUUUUUUUGUAAUAUAAGAAAGCCAAUAAACAAUAAUUUUACAUAUAUUUUUCACGUAUCAGAUUUAGUGAAGAAAAUUCCUGUAAAUAUUCAUAUAUUACCAUUGUAGGCAUUAUCUUUUUAAUUAUACUACUUCUGGGUUUAUAUACUUUCCACUACCCUCCAUACAUACACUGAAAGACAUUCUGACUACUAAAUCAUAAUUCAUUACAACUUCCAGAGAAAUUAUAAUUAGGACUGUAACAAAACAUAUUUUUAACUGAAAAUGCAAACUGGAGAUCUGCAAUGAAGCCCAUUGUUGCACAAAAUUAUCUUUCUACUGAUGCUUAUUUCGUGUAGCAGGCUAUCAUCAGUUUAGAAAUAUUUACAAGUAUUUACUUGUCUGUAGAUGGCAUGAUGUUCUAGUCUUUCAUAAUCUAAAACACCUGUUUAAUAUACAUUUUACAUUUACCAAACCAUCAUGUGAAACACAAUUUUGAAGUUUAUUCAUUCGUGCUACCUAAAAUCGAUUUGACACUUUAUUUCAAAGAAUUAAACAUAUAAGGACAAAUGUAAAUUGAUGCUCCUUCUGUAUCUAAUUUAUCCUUUUAUAAGAAUUGCACAUUAAAGAAAUACACAUUUCCUUAAAAUUAAAUAUAGGUUAUUGAAUACGUUUAAUAUGUUAGAGAAAGACUGCAUUAGAAAUAAAUGUAGCAUUUAAAAAUAUAUUUCGUAGUCUGAGGCAUGCACUGAAGUGAUGAUUAUAUCCUUAUCUUGAUACAAUUAGGAAAUAUUUUUGCAUGUGAGGAUGCUCUUUAUGGAGGGUAAAUAUUUGGAGUUUGUCAUCUCGCGCCAAGAAGAUAAAAGAAAUGGACACACACAAGGAGUGAGUUUAGGAGAGUAGGUUUAAUAGGCAAAAGAAAGAGAAAGGAGAACAGCUCUCCCUCAGAAGACAGAGGGGCCCACGAAAGGGAAAUCUGGCCCACUGCAGAGUGCACCAGAUUUUAUAAGUAGGCUUGAGGAGGUGGAUUCUGAUUUACAUAAGGCCCACAGAUUGGUUGGACCAGGUGUGACAUAAUAAUCUUGCAUAAUCUUAUUACGCAAAAUGACUUUGCAGUUGGCUGGCACCAUGUUGUCAGCAUCUUACAGUACACGUGGCUGGCAAAGAAAAGGGAAGAUGGAACCACCAUUUUGAAUAUGCCUCGUCCCAGGUAGCCUUUUCCUAUUGGCACCACUGCCGGCACUCGCCCAUGCAAACCUCCAGCUUGCUUGUCUGUGUCUGCAGCUCGAUUUUACUGGCUGCUCUUAGUUAGAAAAUAAAAUGAUUUGGGGGCCGCUUUUCAUUAAAAGGAAAACCUUACCAAGAACUUCCUUACCCUCACUAUCUGCCUAAAUAAUUUCUUCUUAACUUCUAUAUCAUUACUUUACAUUAUUUACCAGUUUUUUUUAAAAACAUCUUGGGCAAAAACGUAAUAAAUUUAUUGAAAAAUGUUAUGUUAGUGCUCCCUUUUUUCAUGUUUUGCUGUCUUCAUAGUUUGCAAAUAAAGGCCUUUAAAAUACUAUAUUUAAAUAACAGCAACUAUAUUAGAUUAAUUAUUGUAAUAAAUGCUUCCCUGAUUAAUACAUUUUCCUCAUAUUUUUUAUUUAAUAAAGACAAAUCAAAGGAAUUAUUUAACAAUUUUUGCACAACUAUUCUUAACUGACAAAGAUGAUUUGUUUAAAAGGAUCUUCAGGGUAGCAAAGAUACAUGCUAAGAGGGUAACACCAGGAAAAAAGACAAAUACAUUCUACUACAAGAAAAUGCUUCAAGACCAAAAAUAUUAAUUCAAUAAGAAAAUAUUUCAUAUAUCUUUUAUGAGAGAAACUAUUAAUUAACUCACUUCUGUAAUCCAGUUACGUGGCAUAUAUUCCUUUUUCUAGUUUAUCAUGCAAAAGUUUGGAAAGAUUUUCUCUAAACAGAGCAAGUCAGUGCUAACGGUUUCAAGUCAGGGCUGGCAGUCAGCCUGGAAGAGCAUGCUCAGAAGGCCGUUUACACUUACCUGACCCCUGCCUGAUACUCUCACCUGCUCCAAAAGGGUUCAGUUAAUUUCUAUUACUAAUGAAUUAUCUCUUAUACUUACUUAAUAGACAUAUGAAUUACUACAAAUAUACCUAUAAAUUAACAGGAUAUCAUUCAAUAUGGAGGACAGCAGCUGGAACCUAAUGACACCCUGGAGGUCUCUUGGUUACUGUUUUUAGGAAACAGAAAAAAACCUGCCUCAUUCCAGGUAAAACAUAAAAAUAACACUUUAACAGAAAGUGUUCAUCCUGCCUGUAUGCUUCCCCUAAAAUGCCGUGUGCGCAACACAGAAUUAAAUAAAAUUAGGACAUAAGAAUUAACAAGUACACCCAAAGCAGACAAGAAGUUUAAGUAAGGACUGCUUCCUGUAAUCCUAUCCAUAUUGUUUCAUAGACAAUUUUCAGAACAUAAAAAUACAAUAAAUAAUGGAAAUACAGGGAUUCAUUUAUUACUUUUUGCUUUACAAUCAAAGACACCCAAUAAUAUUUCUAUUUACUUCUUAUAAAAGAUUAUCAAUUUACUUUUAAAACAAAAUAAAAAAGUAUAAUUAAAAAAAAUUCCAAAUCAAUUCCUACAGACAGCACAGAAAAGGGGGAAAAGGAAAUUAUUUUCCCUGCUUUCAAGCUUUAUUACACAGGUUCAAAAAUGAUUAUUUUAUGCCAUCCUUAAGUCAAAGGACAUACUGCCAUGCUUCUCUGCACUGAGUCUUAGGACAUGCUAAUGUUGCCAAAUCAAAUUUAAAUAUAGUCCCAAUGGCAUCACAAUUUACAAAUGCAUAUGCCAGGAUUAAGGAUGAAUAGGGGGAAAAACUCCAAAUGUUCUAGAAUGCAGUUUAAUCAAAUGAGUUAAAUGAAAUAAGAAACAUUUAAUUUAGUAGUCUAUCCUGUUAAAUAAUGAGUUUGUGUAGAAAACGUAGUCAAACAGAGCUAAAAAUCAUGUCUAGUAAAUGACACAAAUGAUUUCUCAAAUGUUCAAGUUUGACUUAAGUUCAAAGUCUAGUAGGUGGGGAUUAAUGAUCUAUAUACUCUUUAUACUAAUUUUAGAACUUUAAAUUCCAGAAAGACAAACUAAUUUAUUCAUUAGUUUACUUUUGACAACAGAAUUCUAAACACACAGAAUUAAUGCAGUGGCCUCAGCACCCUCCCAGUUAACAUUUCUUUAAGUCAGAUUACAAGAACAGUAAAACAUUUCAGAAGACACACACUAUGCACUUCAUAGGUCUGCCCAAGUUGUCCCCAACUCUUUUGCAAGACACAAAGACAAUUCACCUGAUUCUAAGUCUAUUCAGCAGAAAUACAAAAAUCAUGCAAAUGUUAGCAUGGUUUCAACACAUUAUGGAAAUACAUUUGGAGAGAUGGAGUACUCGAUGUAUAUUAUGUGGGCCACUUUAAAUCAAAGGCAUCAUUAUUUAUUCAACUUUCAGACAUUGCCAUGGUAACUUAUACCUUUAUAUCAGGUAGGUCCAAGGCCAGAGACUUUAGUAUCAUUCCAAAGAAUAUAGAGAUAUUUAUAUACAUAUUUCUUUUAAAAUAAUAUUUAAGAGUUUUACUACAGAAAGUCUGGCUUCAACAUGGAAGCAUUUUUCCUUUUCAAGAUUAUACACCUGCAUGAAAGUAGGUGAUUUCCUCUACAUUUAGUUUUUUCACAAUAGCAAAAUAGACUUCUUAUAUAUUGCAUUUAAAUUGACAAGAAAUGUAAGAUGUAAAGUUCCAUGUAACUUUUUGUAUUGUGAACUGUUCUCUUUAAACAUACUCCAGAUACAUUGCUGAUUAUUUAAUACAGUACAACUUGAUCAACUUAAUUAGAAGUGUUAUGAUGAACAAACUGUGAAACCAAAUGUAUGUUAAAACAGUAGGUAGAGCUAACUAUUAUGACUAAAAGGGAAUUUUAAUGUAUCCUCAAAAUAUACAUCAAUUUUCUUGUUAUUACUUGUUUCUAUAAUGCAUUUCUUUCUAAACCUAAAACUAUAUGUAUAAAAAAUAAAUAUCUUCAAA
rnacentral:lncRNA from 10 species